rnacentral:rRNA from 1 species
UCUGGGUCCACCUCCCACCCGUGUCUAUCGUACCUUGUUGCUUCGGCGGGCCCGCCGUUUCGACGGCCGCCGGGGAGGCCUUGCGCCCCCGGGCCCGCGCCCGCCGAAGACCCCAACAUGAACGCUGUUCUGAAAGUAUGCAGUCUGAGUUGAUUAUCGUAAUCAGUUAAAACUUUCAACAACGGAUCUCUUGGUUCCGGCAUCKAUGAAGAACGCAGCGAAAUGCGAUAAGUAAUGUGAAUUGCAGAAUUCAGUGAAUCAUCGAGUCUUUGAACGCACAUUGCGCCCCCUGGUAUUCCGGGGGGCAUGCCUGUCCGAGCGUCAUUGCUGCCCUCAAGCACGGCUUGUGUGUUGGGCCCCCGUCCCCCUCUCCCGGGGGACGGGCCCGAAAGGCAGCGGCGGCACCGCGUCCGGUCCUCGAGCGUAUGGGGCUUUGUCACCUGCUCUGUAGGCCCGGCCGGCRCCAGCCGACACCCAACUUUAUUUUUCUAAGGUUGACCWCGGAUCAGGUAGGGAUACCCGCUGAACUUA